rnacentral:rRNA from 1 species
UCUACCACUCUGAAUGCACCUGGUCUGAUCGGAAGCAGAGUUAAGCCUGGUUAGUAUUUAGAUGGGACAUCCUCUGGGAAAACCUAGAUGAU